CACACGGACCCUGCCUGCCACCCUGAGCCCCAGCUGGGACCAGACCCUGGUCUUCCACCACCUGCUGAUCUACGGAGACCCCCAGGCCACCCGGCAGGACCCGCCGCUGGUGGUGCUGGAGCUGUUUGACCAGGACGUGAUCGACAAGGAUGACUUCCUGGGCAGGAGCAUUUGCCCCCCACUGGCCUGUCUGGAGCUGGACUGCAGGCUGCCCCCCCGCCUCCAGUGGCAUCCGAUCACCAGGCAGCAGAAGGACGCGGGCGAGCUCUUGGCGGCCUUUGAGCUGCUGCUGGAGACUGAGGACGGUGCCCCCGGCCGCCUUCCUGUCCCCCCCUGGAAGAACGGGGUCUACACCAUCCCUGCCGGCAUCCGGCCCACGCUGCGGCUGAUGGCCAUCGAG